UAUGAGAUGGUCGAGUAUAUAGACUAUAAACUGUAAAUUUAUAAACGGGUAUGCCCUCUCAUAU
rnacentral:tRNA from 1 species